GGCGGAAAAGUGCUUGACGUCUGCCCUCCGAAGGCAAAGGUCACACGUUCGAAUCGUGUCGGGUGCGCCA
rnacentral:tRNA from 1 species